UUGCUGUAAUCAUCAUUAUUCAGUAGCAACUAGUCAGCAAAAUUCGGCUCUCAAAAUAUAAUUUUUGUUCAUUUCUUUUUAUCAUUCAUUCUUGACCAAUAUUUUUCUAAUUCUUGACGAGAAAAAAUCUUAUCUGCUACAACCCUUGAAGCUUUUCCAGAUCAGUUGGCUUACGCAGAGGCGGCUUCUGAGAGUGAAUCGAAUUCUUCGAAAAUACUGGUUGAUGGGAAAGUACAGCCUCAUAAGAAAAUAACGGAUUCAGAGAACGAAAAAGAUUCUGAGAAAAUAACGAAUUCAAAUAUCGAGCUCGAGUCUGAGAAAAUAACGGAUUCUAAUAUCGAACCCGAGUCUAAAAAAAAACGAAUUCUGUGAAAAAAACAGAAACUGUGAAACUAAGAAGAUCAAUAGCGAAGAAAACAGCAGAAAAUUUCUGGUUCAGUUUUUUAGUUCGCAUAGUUGGAUUCUUGCAAAUUUAUGCGGCCAUGAACGAUGGUCGGUUUUUCAUCGCAAAUGCUCUCCUAAGCUUCGGGACCUUCGCCGAUUUUUUAUUUCCGCUUUGGGUACAUAUCGAACAACAACAGUGUUGGGUCGACGACCACUUAAUCCAAGAUUCAAAAGUAGGAAGUGAUAGAAUAGCAGAUAAAAUGUUGAAACUCUUGUUCGUUUCUGCUAUUGACGUCACCCGAAUUCUUCCAACUCUUGUAAUCUUGUGUUCUUGGUUAUUGGAGCCACUCAUUUGGACAUCUGAUGAUCAAUUGCUUCUAGGAGGAGUCUUUCAACUCAUUUUGAAUUGUCCGAAACUUAUCGGGGGUUUCAUUUUAAUGUCCCAAUGCAUAGACAAAAUAUAAUAAUGAAAAGAAAACAGCAAAC